GACGAACGCUGGCGGCGUGCUUAACACAUGCAAGUCGAACGGAAAGGCCCUGCUUUUGUGGGGUGCUCGAGUGGCGAACGGUGAGUAACACGUGAGUAACCUGCCCUUGACUUUGGGAUAACUUCAGGAAACUGGGGCUAAUACCGGAUAGGAGCUCCUGCUGCAUGGUGGGGUUGGAAAGUUUCGGCGGUUGGGGAUGGACUCGCGGCUUAUCAGCUUGUUGGUGGGGUAGUGGCUUACCAAGGCUUUGACGGGUAGCCGGCCUGAGAGGGUGACCGGCCACAUUGGGACUGAGAUACGGCCCAGACUCCUACGGGAGGCAGCAGUGGGAAUAUUGCACAAUGGGCGGAAGCCUGAUGCAGCAACGCCGCGUGCGGGAUGACGGCC
rnacentral:rRNA from 1 species